GAUAUAGAUAUAGAUGGAUAUAGAUGGAUAUAGAUAUAGAUAGAUAUAGAUAGAUAUGUCAAUAGGUGCAGUUCUUUUGGCAGCGUGCAAAUAAAAUAUAUAUAAUACAAAAUAAAUCCAUAACAAAAAAGAAAAUAAAACCAACAGAAAGAAAAAUAAAAUAAAACCAAACAGUACCACAUAAAGAAAACAAACAAGGAAAAGAUCUAAAAUCCUGUAUAAAGCAGUAGUGCCAAAUUUAGCACCAAAAAAACCUUAAUGUGUAGAUCCUAGCACCAGUCUUGAAUGGUCCCCUCCCACCCUCUUUUUAAAGAAAAGUCAGCACUCUGAUCAAAAUCAGAUUUUUAAAAUACUUACAAUUAUUGGGAGGAAAACUAUUUCAAAAACAAAAGGGGUGCUUUUACAAUUACAUUUCUCUGUAAAGAUACAGGAUCUCUUUUACUGGACACACCUUUCAUCUUGCACUAAAAUUCUACCUUAUAAUAGGUAAAGGUAUUAUUUCCUGUUAUGUUUCCCAGCUGUAAUCAAAUGACAGGUGAGCUCAACCCAACCAGUUAUUGUUCAACAUGACUAAUCUCUGAACCCUUUUAUGGUUUCACCUGUUGCCAUAGGGAUCUCUUUAAGCUUUGUCCAGCCCUCCAGCAAACAGUUCCUCCAGUUAUUAAAUACACAGAAACCUGCUAAGGCAAAGUAUCGGUUACUUGGAGUAGCUACCAGUAAGUUCAACCACCUCUGCCUUCUUCGAUCCUUGGCCACAGCUGCUGUAUCUGUGUAACUGGACAUAAACUGAUACAGCUAACAUGUACACACAAGAGAAACAUCUCAUUGCACCAAUGUGACUUUGUAAUGGAGGUCCCAUGUGUCUUUCCAAACUGAAAUCAGGUUAUUUGCUACUAAAGGCUAUAUAUAUAUAUAUAUCUGCAAACCACCAUGACUACUCAUGAAGCAAGACAUGCUGCUACCUCUGAAUGGACCAAAAUGCCCACAAUAGCCACUAAAGAAGCAGACAACAACACUGCCUUGAAUAACACAAGUACCAACUGGAAUAUAUAUACCGCAACUGCAAACACUACCAAUGUUUCCUCAAUGUUAUCUUAUUUAUCACAAAGCACUCGCUCUCCUAGUACAGAAAGUAACAGUUCAUCAGAUAUCAUUGCCGAAACCAAAAAGGUGACAACAUUUCCUGCUGAAUCAUUCUUUAGUAAUUCUGUGUAUCAAUCCACUGUAGAAGAUCCCAAAACAACAACUUCAGCUAUAACAUCGAAUUUGAUAGUCCAAGUUUCAACAAGUAUGCCAUUAAUCAGUAGCAAGUUUCUGGCUUCAGUUUCAUCAAAUCAGUUUCAAGCAGGAGGUGGUCGUUUGAAGAAUUCAGAAGCCAUCUUAACUAUCAGUUUUGCCAUUCUUCUUGCACUAACAAUCCUAGGAUCCACUGUGUAUAUUUUCAAUAAAUUUAGAAAGAGAAGAGAUCAAUAUUCCCACCAUCCACUUUAUGAUACUUCUUCUGAAACAGAAAGAUAUACAACUCAAGAAGAUGUACUGGUUAUAUCAGGAGGGUUGUAUGAUGCACCAAGAAUAUAUAAUCCCAACAUGAUGUAUGAAGAUGAUGAACUUUCAAAUGAUCAUUUACCAUUUAGUGCUCAACCAGGACAACUCAAAUUGGAAUUUCUGUCAGGAGAAAAAGAACAGAACAUUUUCCCAGCUUAUGAAACAUUUCAGAAAACACCAGGAGAUUUAUAAUGGAUGGGACACAGAUCCUUCAAAGUAGCAAAAUUAAUCCACUGUGAAAUUCAGUUUGAAUAAAAGCAGAAAUUAGAACUCACAAAGACGUUUAUUAAAACAAAGAACCAUUUACAAGUUAUACAGGAAUAGUUAACAAUUCUUUGCAACUUGACUGCUUCAUGCACAAUAUUUUACUGGAUCCAGAUUUAUUCAUACACAGAGUAGACCCACAAACACACAGGGCCAAUUUAAUGAUUUUUAUCAGCUAAGUUAGAUCUCCUUGCUAUUGUGAAUAUUUUACUUUGCUGUAAUAAUUAUUGGUAUGUUAUUGUAAUAAUAAAGUCUGAAUAAAAAUGAUUCAAUGACUCUAA